AGUGAACGCUGGCGGUAGGCCUAACACAUGCAAGUCGAACGGCAGCACAGUAAGAGCUUGCUCUUACGGGUGGCGAGUGGCGGACGGGUGAGGAAUACAUCGGAAUCUACUUUUUCGUGGGGGAUAACGUAGGGAAACUUACGCUAAUACCGCAUACGACCUACGGGUGAAAGCAGUGGAUCUUCGGACCCUGCGCGAUUGAAUGAGCCGAUUUCGGAUUAGCUAGUUGGCGGGGUAAAUGCCCACCAAGGCGACGAUCCGUAGCUGGUCUGAGAGGAUGAUAAGCCACACUGGAACUGAGCCACGGUCAAGACUCCUAAGGGAGGCAGCAGUGGGGAAUAUUGGACAAUGGGCGCAAGCCUGACCCAGCCAUACCGCGUGGGUGAAGAAGGCCUUCGGGUUGUAAAGCCCUUUUGUUGGGAAAGAAAAGCAGCAGGUUAAUACCCCGCUGUUCUGACGGUACCCAAAGAAUAAGCACCGGCUAACUUCGUG
rnacentral:rRNA from 1 species